AGUAUGUGCGUUAUUGCAUUCUACUUUUACUAGUGAUCUUUACAUGACAUUUAAAAAAAUAUCGAAAAUUAACAAAACCAUACCGAUAACAAAGAGAAACCGACAUGAUUGGGAUGAUUUUAACAAGUUUAAUUUUGGUUAUACAUAAUAGAAUAACUGAAAAAUUGAUAUGGUACAAAUUUUAUAAAUAACUGGGCGAACCGAACCAUUGACACCCCUAAUUGUUGCCUUCCCCCCUCUCUCUCUCUCUGCAUGUUCUCUCAUUUCUCUCAUCUUCUAUCCACAAUUCUAGCAUGGUAUAAGAGCCAUUAGGUCAAGGAUAUCUAGUCUCGUUCGAUCCCAACAGUUCCUCGAAGCCGGUCCAGAGUAAUUGAACUCAGAAAUCGAAGGAAUCAAUUCCUCAAAAAAUUCACGCGAUUGAAGCAGAGAAGCCAUGGGAGACACACCUACUAGCACACCUACCAAUUCAGGUGUAAAUCCUGGAGUAAUUGGAGCUGGAGCUACAUGAAUAGGUUGAUAUGGUGUUGGUACUCAAGCUCGCGAUGAAUUAGGAGUCUAUUUGCCGCAUAAUCAUCCUCUAUAUCUCAUACCUGCAAAAACGAGUGGAGCUCAACUCAUUUCUUUUCAAUUGACUGGUACGGCCAAUUAUACUAUGUGGAAUCGCUCGAUGAGAACUGCAUUCUAGCAUUUAACAAAGAUUAAAAUAAAAUACUUAGCUCCAUUUUUCUCAAGUAUAUGUGAUAUGUGUCUGACAUGGAAUACUAAAGAACUAAAGAUAGUUUUUUUUUCUUUGACUUAGACCAAACUCAAAUAUUCAGCAAAAACUCCAAGAAUAAGCUAUUGACUCAACCUAAGAAAAGAAAGAAACUGAAGAGAAAAAGAAAGAAAGAUCUUUUCAAACAUUGAACUCAUUUAACAGUAACAACAUUUUCAUCCUUUAAGAAUGAUGAACUUCAAGAAAUUCGGCUCAAAAGUAACAAGAAUGUAGUUCAAAAUAUUUUGGUUUUCAAACAGCAGUAAGCAAACUUUCAAGCUGUCAGAUUUGGUCCACAAGAAGCUUAACGCAUGCGACCAAAACUUAACCACCACAACAUGCCAAAACAACAGUUAGCUUCCCAACAAACACAUAGUCCUUACUUUACCUUUCAUUACUCACUUUUUAUCAUAAAUUAAAAGAGAGAAAAAUGGACAAAACGUGCUGCUUUAUCUUGAUAAAAUAGCUCGAGCAAUCAAAUGCCUACUGCAGCAAAAAACAUUUACUCUCAAUACCGACAGAGAAAGAUUAUAUAUGGUUCUAAAUUAUUUAACUCAAACUAAACCUCUUUUAUGAACUCAAACGACAUCAAAGAUUCAUAAAUAGUAGGAAAAGGCUGAUUCAAAACAAAGCGAGCGGAUUCAAUAAACAUUCAAAAACACUCAUCAUUAUUCAAACACAAAGAUGGGGAGUCAAGAUACAUCUCAAAACUGCAUGCUUAUUAUUAGUAAUAUUUAAAAUUAUACUAAGGAGUUGAUAGGAUUACCUACGCACGGCAGAAUCCUUACAAUAAAAGAAAGAAACCCAGCAAUGGAUAGUUCUGAAGCUAUCUACUCAUUGAACACAGCAAGAACUAGCAAACCGCAGCAGUCAACAGCAACUUAAACCAAAUGAAACCCAGAAAUCAACAAGCUUGAAGAACCAAAAGAACUAAGCAUGUUUAACGGGCCGGGUUGACCCGUUUCCGGACCGGCCAAGUAGUAACCCAGACCGGCCCGGAUUGGUAGUUAGGGGGGCGGGUGGGCUAGGUUAGGGGGAUUGGUCCGUGUAAAAAAAUUCAGGUUAACUGGACCAGUCAAGGAAAAUCACUGUUGAACCGGUUAACCGGACCGGACCGACCCGGUUCAACAAUGAUUUUCUCAUUUUUAUUUUUAUUGUUUUACUUAUUUUAAAAUAAAAAAAAAUCAUUUGAUAGUUGGUAACAGCCCCCCUCUUCUUCAUUUCUUCACUCACUCACCAAAGGAGACUACAGAACCUUUCUUUUUGCCUUUCUGAAAAAAUGUUUUUGGAUGAAAGGUUGCUGAAGUUUCUUUUAUCUUUGCUCUCAAACUUUCUGUUCUUUUUUGAGUGUCCAAGAUGUGUAGAUCUUUAAGUGAGGAAAGACCUCUUCCUUUAUAGGAAAGGAAAGGGAUUGAAUUAUUUGAUUGAAUCUGUCCAAAGGAUAGAUUUUCCACCAAGAAUCUGUCCCAACUAUUCAAAGGUCAAAAAUCUGUCCAAAAGACAAUUUUUUCACCAACUAUGAACAGUGCUAGGAACAGUGUACUCCAAGCAGCUUUUAAACAGUAAAAAGCAGCCAAACAAGUUACACUCAAAUAUUCAGCUUUUAUCGUGACUGAAAUUCAAGCUAACGCACUCAUUCUCAAACCAACUAUGAAUAGGCAAAGCUAGGACAUGACUUCAAUUGCAAUUGAACUAAGUAUUCAAACGAACUAAACUAAAACUAAUCGAUUAAUGAGAACUAACAUUGGGCGAUUAAAAUCAGGAAACAUUGCCCAAAACAGAACUUAAAUGACCAUUGGUAAACUAUCGAAACAACGAUUAAAAGCAAAUAAAUAAACGGCUAACUAAAUAAACGAGUCAACCAAUUUUGUUGGUUUUUUCAUGAAACUAGCAUAAAACACUUAUUAACUAAUCAAAAUAGAGAAAGUUAAACUAAAUUCAAAACCAAACGGGCAAACAGAAAAUGAGGGAAAGAUUGAAGUAUACCGAACAAAACGAGGCAUCGGAGGCAAUGAGCUAAUGGCGAGGCAGCGAUACGGCUCGAGCAAGCGUCUAUUGUUGAUUUUCAUUGAAACCAUAAACUCAGACAAAUCGGAGAUCGGUUGUGGGAAAAUCAACAAUAAAGCCUCGCUUGAGAACGGUAAAUACAGAAACGGAUUCGGCAAGUGGUAGUUGUGGACUUGAGGCUUAGAAUCAGGUAGAGGAGGAAGAGAAGGAGAGAAUGACCUAAUUUUAGUGAUGGUUGAAGGCCGUCGGCGGGCGACGCCGCUGUAGGGAGAUGCGGCGGCAAGAGAGGGGGAAAGAGUGAAGAGGGAGAAGCUAGGGCUUGAAUUUUAGGUUAAAUG
rnacentral:lncRNA from 1 species